rnacentral:rRNA from 1 species
UACGGGGGGGGCAAGCGUUGUUCGGAAUUACUGGGCGUAAAGGGCUCGUAGGCGGCUAACUAAGUCAGACGUGAAAUCCCUCGGCUUAACCGGGGAACUGCGUCUGAUACUGGAUGGCUUGAGUUCGGGAGAGGGAUGCGGAAUUCCAGGUGUAGCGGUGAAAUGCGUAGAUAUCUGGAGGAACACCGGUGGCGAAGGCGGCAUCCUGGACCGACACUGACACUGAGGAGCGAAAGCCAGGGGAGCAAACGGG